rnacentral:SRP_RNA from 1 species
AGCCGGUUCUCAUGCAACGGAAUUUUGUGAACCCCGUCAGGUCCGGAAGGAAGCAGCGGUAAGCAAACCCUUUCGUGUGACGUGAGCCCCACCGGCUGCU